AGGCUUUGUAGAAGGGCACGGAACAUGGCUGAGGAGGUGUCCAGCAAGGCUGUACCAUAAAGAUCACCCCCAACCCCCCUCCCAAAUAAAUAAAUAAAAACAAGUAAGAAUUAUUUUUCAUUACAGCUGCCAUAAUACACUGGUCCAUGUGAUGAAACCUGCAAUGGCAAGAUUCAACUGCUGUGGUUCAUUCUCUGCUGUUUUCCUUCCCUGCAAAUUUUCCUUCUGAAAGGCACAGAAACAAGAUGCGUAUUCUGCAAUAACGGACAAAGAGGAGCUAGAGAAGGAAAGGGACAGAACAGAAAGUUUGACUUCAGCACCCAAAUCCUCAUAAGAAAAGUUAUGCUCUAACUAAAAGGAUAAGGAAAUACA